UACGUAGGGUGCGAGCGUUAAUCGGAAUUACUGGGCGUAAAGCGUGCGCAGGCGGUUUUGUAAGACAGGCGUGAAAUCCCCGGGCUCAACCUGGGAACUGCGCUUGUGACUGCAAGACUAGAGUACGGCAGAGGGGGGUGGAAUUCCACGUGUAGCAGUGAAAUGCGUAGAGAUGUGGAGGAACACCAAUGGCGAAGGCAGCCCCCUGGGUCGAUACUGACGCUCAUGCACGAAAGCGUGGGGAGCAAACAGGAUUAGAUACCCUGGUAGUCCACGCCCUAAACGAUGUCAACUAGUUGUUGGUAGGGUAAAACCUAUUAGUAACGGAGCUAACGCGUGAAGUUGACCGCCUGGGGAGUACGGCCGCAAGGUUAAA
rnacentral:rRNA from 1 species